rnacentral:rRNA from 1 species
ACUCAAAUGAAUUGACGGGGACCUGCACAAGUGGUGGAGCAUGUGGUUUAAUUCGAUAGCAAGCGAGGAACCUUACCUAGGCUUGACAUGUACCUGCAUAUCGGAGAAAUUCGAUAGCCUUCGAGGGUGGUACACAGGUGCUGCACGGUUGUCGUCAGCUCGUGCCGUGAGGUGUUCACUUAAGUGUGAAAACGAGCGCAACCCCUAUCAUCAGUUACAAGUGUCUGGUGAAACUGCCGGCGUCUAAGCCGGAGGAAGGCGGGGAUGACGUCAAAUCAGCGUGGCUCUUACGCCUAGGGCGACACACGUGCUACAAUGGGUGGUUACAAAGGGACGCCAAAGAGUAAUCUGGAGCAAAUCCUGGCAAACCCACCCCCAGUUCGGAUUGAGGGCUGCAACUCGCCCUCAUGAAGCCGGAAUCACUAGUAACCGUAGAUCAGCCUCGCUACGGUGAAUACGUUCUCAGGUUUUGUACACACCGCCCGU